GCGGCGGCGGCCCCCGGGGGCGGCCGCGGGCGCUGCUGGCGCAGCCCAUGGCCGGGCGCCGGCGCUGCAGCCGCUUCCCGAGUGCCCGACCCGGGGCGAGGUGAGGAGGGGCGGGAGGUGCCGCCGUGCAGCUCCGAGGGACGGCGCCGGGGGGGCCCUGGAGAUGGUCCCUUAAAAAGCUCCCCCCUCGGGGCGGCCCUGCUCACCCCGGGCCACCCGCCUUCUUCAUUCCCGGCCUUGAGGCGGGUUUUUUUGUGUGUUAAGUGCGGGAGCCGCAAGGUCUAAGGGGCGGCCGCCGAGGAAAGUACUGCAGGUGUGUGUGACAGCUGCUGGAGGCCCAUGAAUUUAAUCCUGGGUGCGUGAAAGACCCAGGUAGCGUAGGCAAAUCAGCAGAUGUCCAGGAAAGUCCAGGUGGCUUUAGAAGCUUUCCAAGGAGUAAGAAUGAAGAAUGUUUGCCAUAUAUUAGCUUGCAUAAACAGGUCCAGUGUAUUUUAUUGAUUGCACCCAAGACAUGGUUUCACUAUGCCUUUCAAAUUGAGUAAUCACCCAUUCUUCUAAAUAAACGGGUUUUAUCCAUCCA